rnacentral:rRNA from 1 species
CGAAGGGGGCUAGCGUUGCUCGGAAUUACUGGGCGUAAAGGGAGCGUAGGCGGACAUUUAAGUCAGGGGUGAAAUCCCGGAGCACAACUCCGGAACUGCCUUUGAUACUGGGUGUCUUGAGUGUGAGAGAGGUAUGUGGAACUCCGAGUGUAGAGGUGAAAUUCGUAGAUAUUCGGAAGAACACCAGUGGCGAAGGCGACAUACUGGCUCAUUACUGACGCUGAGGCUCGAAAGCGUGGGGAGCAAACAGGAUUAGAUACCCUGGUAGUCCACGCCGUAAACGAUGAUUGCUAGUUGUCGGGAAGCUUGCUUCUCGGUGACGCAGCUAACGCAUUAAGCAAUCCGCCUGGGGAGUACGGUCGCAAGAUUA